rnacentral:rRNA from 1 species
UACGAAGGGGGCUAGCGUUGCUCGGAAUUACUGGGCGUAAAGCGCACGUAGGCGGCUCUUUAAGUCGGAGGUAAAAUCCUGGAGCUCAACUCCAGAACUGCCUUCGAUACUGAAGAGCUCGAGUCCGGGAGAGGUGAGUGGAACUGCGAGUGUAGAGGUGAAAUUCGUAGAUAUUCGCAAGAACACCAGUGGCGAAGGCGGCUCACUGGCCCGGUACUGACGCUGAGGUGCGAAAGCUGGGGGAGCAAACAGG